CCCUUAGAUGUCCGGGGCCGCACGCGCGCUACACUGAAGGAAUCAGCGUGGCUUUCUCCCUGACCCGAAAGGGUUGGGAAACCCGUUGAAUCUCCUUCGUGAUAGGGAUUGGGGCUUGAAAUUGUUCCCCAUGAACGAGGAAUUCCCAGUAAACGCGAGUCAUCAGCUCGCAUUGAUUACGUCCCUGCCCUUUGUACACACCGCCCGUCGCACCUACCGAUUGAAUGGUUCGGUGAAGAUCUCGGACUUCGAUAUUCAUUCUUUAUUGAGUUUAUAUUGUGGGAAGUUAUCUAAACCUCAUCAUUUAGAGGAAGGUGAAGUCGUAACA
rnacentral:rRNA from 1 species